GACGAACGCUGGCGGCGCGCCUAACACAUGCAGGUCGAACGAGCGAGAGAGAGCUUGCUUUCUCGAGCGAGUGGCGAACGGGUGAGUAACGCGUGAGGAACCUGCCUCAAAGAGGGGGACAACAGUUGGAAACGACUGCUAAUACCGCAUAAGCCCACGGUGCCGCAUGGCACAGAGGGAAAAGGAGCAAUCCGCUUUGAGAUGGCCUCGCGUCCGAUUAGCUAGUUGGUGAGGUAAUGGCCCACCAAGGCGACGAUCGGUAGCCGGACUGAGAGGUUGAACGGCCACAUUGGGACUGAGACACGGCCCAGACUCCUACGGGAGGCAGCAGUGGGGAAUAUUGCACAAUGGGGGAAACCCUGAUGCAGCGACGCCGCGUGGAGGAAGAAGGUCUUCGGAUUGUAAACUCCUGUUGUUGGGGAAGAUUAUGACGGUACCCAAAAAGGAAGUGACGGCUAACUACGUA
rnacentral:rRNA from 1 species